rnacentral:rRNA from 1 species
AAGGAAUAUUGGACAAUGGGCGCAAGCCUGAUCCAGCCAUGCCGCGUGCAGGAUGAAAGUGCUAUGCACUGUAAACUGCUUUUGUUUGGGAAAAAACCCCUGGUUUCUACCGGGGCUGAUUGUACCAAAAGAAUAAGGGACGGCUAACUUCGUGCCAGCAGCCGCGGUAAUACGAAGGUCCCAAGCGUUAUCCGGAUUUAUUGGGUUUAAAGGGUGCGUAGGCGGACUAUUAAGUCAGUGGUGAAAGCCCCAAGCUUAACUUGGGAACUGCCAUUGAUACUGAUGGUCUUGAGUACAUUUGAGGUGGGCGGAAUGUGUCAUGUAGCGGUGAAAUGCUUAGAUAUGACACAGAACACCGAUUGCGAAGGCAGCUCACUAAACUGUAACUGACGCUGAGGCACGAAAGCGUGGGGAGCAAAC